rnacentral:rRNA from 1 species
GAGGUAGAUAGGUCCGAGGUGGAAGCGUGGUGACACGUGCAGCUGACGGAUACUAAUCAAUCGAGGACUUAACUUA